GGGACGGGUGCUAUACAUGCAAGUCGUACGCUUCUUUUUCCACCGGAGCUUGCUCCACCGGAAAAAGAAGAGUGGCGAACGGGUGAGUAACACGUGGGUAACCUGCCCAUCAGAAGGGGAUAACACUUGGAAACAGGUGCUAAUACCGUAUAACAAUCGAAACCGCAUGGUUUUGAUUUGAAAGGCGCUUUCGGGUGUCGCUGAUGGAUGGACCCGCGGUGCAUUAGCUAGUUGGUGAGGUAACGGCUCACCAAGGCCACGAUGCAUAGCCGACCUGAGAGGGUGAUCGGCCACAUUGGGACUGAGACACGGCCCAAACUCCUACGGGAGGCAGCAGUAGGGAAUCUUCGGCAAUGGACGAAAGUCUGACCGAGCAACGCCGCGUGAGUGAAGAAGGUUUUCGGAUCGUAAAACUCUGUUGUUAGAGAAGAACAAGGAUGAGAGUAACUGUUCAUCCCUUGACGGUAUCUAACCAGAAAGCCACGGCUAACUACGUGCCAGCAGCCGCGGUAAUACGUAGGUGGCAAGCGUUGUCCGGAUUUAUUGGGCGUAAAGCGAGCGCAGGCGGUUUCUUAAGUCUGAUGUGAAAGCCCCCGGCUCAACCGGGGAGGGUCAUUGGAAACUGGGAGACUUGAGUGCAGAAGAGGAGAGUGGAAUUCCAUGUGUAGCGGUGAAAUGCGUAGAUAUAUGGAGGAACACCAGUGGCGAAGGCGGCUCUCUGGUCUGUAACUGACGCUGAGGCUCGAAAGCGUGGGGAGCAAACAGGAUUAGAUACCCUGGUAGUCCACGCCGUAAACGAUGAGUGCUAAGUGUUUGGAGGGUUUCCGCCCUUCAGUGCUGCAGCUAACGCAUUAAGCACUCCGCCUGGGGAGUACGACCGCAAGGUUGAAACUCAAAGGAAUUGACGGGGGCCCGCACAAGCGGUGGAGCAUGUGGUUUAAUUCGAAGCAACGCGAAGAACCUUACCAGGUCUUGACAUCCUUUGACCACUCUAGAGAUAGAGCUUCCCCUUCGGGGGCAAAGUGACAGGUGGUGCAUGGUUGUCGUCAGCUCGUGUCGUGAGAUGUUGGGUUAAGUCCCGCAACGAGCGCAACCCUUAUUGUUAGUUGCCAUCAUUCAGUUGGGCACUCUAGCAAGACUGCCGGUGACAAACCGGAGGAAGGUGGGGAUGACGUCAAAUCAUCAUGCCCCUUAUGACCUGGGCUACACACGUGCUACAAUGGGAAGUACAACGAGUCGCGAAGUCGCGAGGCUAAGCUAAUCUCUUAAAGCUUCUCUCAGUUCGGAUUGUAGGCUGCAACUCGCCUACAUGAAGCCGGAAUCGCUAGUAAUCGCGGAUCAGCACGCCGCGGUGAAUACGUUCCCGGGCCUUGUACACACCGCCCGUCACACCACGAGAGUUUGUAACACCCGAAGUCGGUGAGGUAACCUUUUGGAGCCAGCCGCCUAAGGUGGGAUAGAUGAUUGGGGUGAAGUCGUAACAAGAGCCAGA
rnacentral:rRNA from 1 species